GUCUAAGGCCAUAUCACCCUGAACGCGCCCAAUCUCAUCUGAUCUCGGAAACUAAGCAGGGUUGGGCCUGGUCAGUACUUGGGUGGAAGAAAUACAAAGACAGAGGAAGAAGUUUGGGGAAGUGGUGA
rnacentral:rRNA from 1 species